rnacentral:lncRNA from 1 species
UCGUUUCGACCGGUCCAGCUGUUCUGAAACUUUUGGCGUUGACGGAUUUUGAGUUUGACGCACGGAUUUCGAGAAAACCCAAAAAUACAUGCUUUAUAUGUAUUUGUGCGUUGUUUCUUCAGUUGGAAGAAAGAUUGGAUUUUGUCGUGAAUCCGUGGUCGAUCGAGAUGAAUCAAAAUCGUAGGUUUGUUGUCUCCGUCGUGCUGAUCGCAAUGGUGCGAUCGGUUCGCAAAUCUGACGGACGGAUCUGCGGAGAUUGCGCGUUGAUCGAGGAGAGGUCGGUGAUGGUAAAACGGUAAUUUUGCAAAAGUCGUGACAUUUUAUGUACCGUUUCGCGUGAGAUCGCUCAUGGAGGGGUAUUCA